AUACGGAGGAUGCGAGCGUUAUCCGGAUUUAUUGGGUUUAAAGGGUGCGUAGGCGGGCUGUCAAGUCUGUGGUGAAAAGUCAGGGCUUAACCUUGAUCGUGCCGCGGAAACUGACGGUCUUGAAUAGGGAUGCCGUUGGCGGAAUGUGGAGUGUAGCGGUGAAAUGCAUAGAUAUUCCACAGAACACCGAUUGCGAAGGCAGCUGACGAAUCCCCGAUUGACGCUGAUGCACGAAAGUGCGGGUAUCGAACAGGAUUAGAUACCCUGGUAGUCCGCACAGUAAACGAUGAUAACUAGUUGUUGGCGAUAAACAGAUCAGUAACCGAGCGAAAGCGUUAAGUUAUCCACCUGGGGAGUACGACCGCAAGGUUGAAACUCAAAUGAAUUGACGGGG
rnacentral:rRNA from 1 species